CUACAUCUACUGAUGGACCUAGAACCCUUUGUGGCUGUUCUUGUUAUGUGCACUAGGAUGUAGAGGAAACUGCUCCUAGUGCUUUCUCUCUGUCACUGUGGUUCAUAUUGAUGUAGUUAAACUAUA